UCAGACCAGUUUUUCUCUAGAUGUAAAUAUUCUUUUUCAUCAUGAGGCUUUUGGAAUUGUCUUAAAUCAUUGUAUUGCUGAGAAGAGCUAAGUCUAUCAUUGUUGAUCAUCCCACAGUGCUGCUGUUACUAUGGAUAAUGUAGUCCUGGUUCUGCUCACUUCAUUCAACAUCGGUUCAUAAAAGCCCUUCCAGGCUUCCUGAAAUCAGUCUGAAGAGCAUGCACUCUCAUAGAGGGAGACAACAUCCAUCAGCAAACAGCGGCCAGGAAGGGGGUCCAAGGGGGAAUGCCAAAAGCUCAUCACUGGAUCCAUUGCAAACCCUAAGAAUGCUAUCCAUUCCUGAAAGAGAGGCAAUGCACUCAAGACACAGAAGACGUUCAUCUUCAUCUGGCCAACGAAUGAAAUUGUUUUGCUUGAUUACGUAUAUAUUUUGCAAAAAUUUUGUUUCUCUUUUCUAAAGUUUUGGGGUGGGAAGAAAAGAAUGAAUGCUCCUUAAUUUAAAAAAAAAGGAAAAUUUAAAAGAGGAGGCAGAUAGGUAGUGCAAUGGAUAGAGCACCAACCCAGAAGUCAGGAGGACCUGAGUUCAAAUUUGCCAGACACUCAACACUUCUUAGUUGUGUGACCCUGGGCUUAACCCCAAUUGCCUCAGCAAAAAUAAGGAAAUAAAUAAAUGAAAUGAAAAUAAAAGAUAAGGGAAGACCAAAAGGAGAAGGGAUUUGCUCCAAAAUACACAGUGAGUUAUCAGUAAAAUUGGUAGUAAAACUCAAGUUUUGGGUGGUUUGGGGUAAGGCAAUUGUGAUUAUGUGACUUAUUCAAGAUCACAUAGCUAGUAAAUUUUAAGUGCUUGAGACCACAUUUGAACUAAGUCCUCCUGACUGCAGGGCCAGUGCUCUAUCCACUGCACCAUCUAGUUGCCCUUAGAAUUCAAAUUUUUUGAUUCACAGUCUAGUUCCCUUACACCAGAGCAGCCCUACAAUGGGCUGCUUCCCUGAGACUGUCUGAUUGAUCCAUGAGAUUGAGCCAGGCUGGCUUUUUGAUAUCCCCAAUACAGAUGGGACAUGAUCACCAUGUUGGCCAAAGUCUCAUAUAGGGUGGGUCUUCCUGUUUUCUAACUAACUCUCAGGAGGCCCCUUCUCCUAAGCCCCAGGGGCAGUAGUUCAAUUAUGGGUGUCACCUCUGUAGGCUUCCUAAAAGGAGGGGUGGGGGGGCAGCCAAAUAAAGCAAGCGGCUUUGAUUUAUUGUUCCCCCAAAAGAAAUUGGGUAUGUUUGAAGAAAACACAGGAAGCCAUGUAGAUGACAAAUCUUUCUUAGGUUCAAAUAAAGAACUUCAGAAGCAGGAAAACAUUGGGGAGAGAAUUCGUUGAGAGGGCAUUGAUAUACCGUUUGGGGACCGGGAAACUGCCAGAUGUGGUCUAUAGAGCAAAGGGCCAUUUACUGAUAAUGUCUCAUAUGGACCCUUGGGAUUGAAUGAGGAAAAUGUCCAUUCCAUAAUUCCCUCAGUUGGCAGCCUCUGACCUUCCCCACCCAGUUCUUCUAACAAUUAGAAUGACUUGGUGUUGAUAUGGGACUUCCCUUCCCCGGAAUCUCACUGGCCUCUUACUCAGAUCCUCUUGGGGAGAUUACCAAGAUAGGAGGGAAAGGAAACCAGGCUAGCCAAGAAAGGAACUGCCACGUGUCCAGAGACCAAGAUGAUAAGGGAGCUUUGGCUCUAUUUACCCUCUCCCUCCUUCCCCCCUUUUACAAACCGAGGCUCAGCGAGGUUAAGUAACUUAAUUUAUCACAUGGCUGGCCAAGGUUGGAAUUCCAAAUUCAGAGUUACUUCCUGAUUCCAAAUCGUGUAUCAUGAAUUCAGAGACCUUAGGGGAUCACCUGCUCCUACCUCCCCACAUCAAACAGAUGAGGAAGGGAAAGCUCAAAGGGGAUGCCCAAGGUCGCUUUGCCCAAGGAAGUGCCAGAGGUUGAGAGCUUCCACUGCAAAUCAAGCCCAUGUUCCAUUGAUCGAUGGCUACUGGAGGCCAUGCUCUGUCUCUCUCUUCCUCUACCUGGAGUAGGUAAAAGAGUAUGGCCCCUCAGGAGGAGUCCUACCUCCAGAUUCUCCCUUGAUCGGCUUAGUUUGCAUCCUGGCAGCAGAGUAAUCUUCCAGGGAGGAGCCUGCAAGCCUGAAAGGAAGUCUCAUAUCAACACCAAAGCUUUCUGAUCGUUAGGGAAGUUGGGUGGGGAGGGCUAGAAGUUGACAACAUAGCAAAUAAUAAUUGCAAGACCUAUCUUAUGGGACUGUAGGGAGGAAAACCUUAUGUAAACUUUAAGUGGCUGUAGAAACAGAAUUAUUGCAGUACACUGAUGUAAGCAGAAAACAUCACAAGGUCGUAGCAAGGACCUUGAAGGGUUAUCUGGUCAUCUCUCCUGCCUUUAGGGCUACACCCUUAUCAUGUAUGACUUGAGAGUAGAUGCACAUCCUAACAGAUUGGGGUCGGAGGAUCUCCUCUCUGACGUUUAACACUCCUGGACAAGUCACUUAACUGUAGUUUAUCUCAGUUUUCUGAUCUGUAAAAUGAGGAAGUUGAAAUAAAUGACUUCUAAAAUGCCUUCUAGUGGUUUUGGACGGGAAAGUGGUACAUAUACUGGAAAUUUUUCUUGGAUGGGGAGUAGAUCAGUCGAUCUAAGGUCCUUUAGAUCAUUCUAAUUUUGUUGGCAACAUCCAAAGCAUCAGGGGCAGCUGUAGUGCUGAGCUUCGAGUCAGAAAGACUUAUCUUCCUGAAUUCAGAUCUGGACUCAGAUACUUCCUGACUCUGAACAAGUCGCUUAACCCUGUUUGCCUCAGUUUCUCCAUCUGUCAAAUGAAUUGGAGAAGGAAAAGGCGAACCACUUCAGUAUCUUUGCCAAAAAAACCCCAAAUAUGAUCGCAAAGAGUUAGACAUGACUAAAACAAUUACUGUAAUUGUUAUUUAUUAUUAUUAUUAUCAAUCAAAGUUGUCAGUUUUUACAUUUGCAUCAGCUUCUAUGAGUCUUCCUGUGUUUGAAAGAGCACUUUAAAUCAGGCUUUAGUGGAGGAUUGACCAACUAUAUGACAGACCUUUAAGGAAGAGAAAAAUUUCAACAAUAGAAAAUGGAACAUCUCAGACUUAGGUCUCAUAUAUAUAGGAAACUCAACAUGUCCAAAACAGAACACAUUCUCUUUCCUCAAACAACUACAGCUCUCCUUAACUUCCUGGUGAUCCUCAAGAGUAGCACUAUCCUCCCAGUCACCCAAGCUUACAACCUCCAUAUCACCCUUAACCCCUUCCUUAGUCCACAAGUGAUGCUGUAACCUCCUGCAUCUUCCUGGACAAGACACACUUUUCAUCUCUACCUCCUGGCUUUCCUCGAGUCUCAGCUACAAUCCCACCAUCUAUAGGAAGCCUUUCCUUCAAAUUCAGCGGCUUCUCUCUGUGAAUUAUAGCUGGAUUUAUCCUGGCCACAACUUGUUUGUUUAUGACUGCUUAUAUACUGUCUCCCCAUUAGAUUGUGAGCUCCUUAAGAAUAAGGAACAAGUACUCCAUAUCAGAAGGGGCUCUAAAUCACUAUUGAUCAGAGAGAUGCAAAUUAAAACAAUUCCGAAAUACAACCUUUCAGAUUGGCUAAAAUAACAGGAAAUGAUAAUGAUGAACAUUGGAGGGGAUGUGGGAAAAAAAAAAAAAACUGGGAUACUGAUACAUUGUUAGUGGAGUUGUGAACUGAUUCAGCCAUUCUGGAGAGCAAUUUGGAACUAUACCCAAAGGGCUAUCAAACACUGGAUUCCUGAGAAAACUGUGCAUCCCCUUUGAUCCAGCAGAGUCUCUACUGAAUUUAUAUCCCAAAGAGAUCAUUAAAAAAGGGGAAAGCACCCAUAUGUGCAAAAAUGUUUGUGGCAGCCCUUUUUAUAAUGACAAGAAACUGGAAACUGAGUGCAUGAAAGAAUGGUUGAAUAAGUUGUGGUAUAUGAAUGUUAUGGAAUAUUAAUGUUCUGUAAGAAAUGAUCAGCAGGAUGAUUUCAGAGAGGCCUGGAGAGACUUACAGGAACUGAUGCUGAGUGAAGGAAGUAGAAUCAAGAGAACAUUGUACAUGGCAACAGCAAGAUUAUACAAUAAUCAAUUCUGAUGAGUGUGGCUCUUUUCAACGGCAAAGUGAUUCAGGCCAAUUCCAAUGAUCUUGUGAUGGAGAGAGAACCAUCUGCACCCAUAGAGAGAACUAUGGGAACUUUUUUUUUGGUUGUUUGUUUGCUUUUUGUUCUCUUUUUCAUUUUUUCCCCUUUUUGAUCUGAUUUUUCUUGUGCAACAUGAUGAAUGUGGUAAUAUGUUUAUAAGAAUUGUACAUGUUUUGGCUCUCUUCAACAAUAAGAUGAUUCAAGCCAGUUUUAAUUGUUCAGUGAUGAAGAGAGCCAUCUUCACCCAGAGAGGCCUGUGGAACUGAGUGAUUCACAACAAAAUAUUUCACUUUUUGUUGUUGUUUGGUUGUAUUUUAUUUUGCUUCACUUUUUCUCUUGUGCAGCACAACAAUUGUAUAAAUAUGUAUGCAUAUAUUGGAUUUAACAUAUUUCUUCCAUGUUUAACAUAUAUUGGACUACUGGCCAUCUAGGGGAGGGCAUGGGGAAAGGGCGGGGAUUGGAAUACAGGGUUUUGCAAGGGCUGAUAUUGAAGAAUUGUCCACACAUAUGUUCUGAAAAAUAAAAAGCUUUAAUUAAAAAAAAAAAAGAA